rnacentral:misc_RNA from 1 species
GAUGAAGAACGCAGCGAAAUGCGAUAAGUAAUGUGAAUUGCAGAAUUCAUUGAAUCAUCGAAUCUUUGAACGCACAUUGCGCCCGCCAGUAUUCUGGCGGGCAUGCCUGUUCGAGCGUCAUUUCAACCCUCAGGGCCCUUUUGGACCUGGCGUUGGGGCUCGGCCGCUACCCUGCGGCCGUCCCCGAAAGAUAGUGGCGGUCUCGCUGUAGCCUCCUCUGCGUAGUAGUUACAUCUCGCACUGGAACGCGGCGCGGCCAUGCCGUUAAACACCCCACUUCUCAAGGUUGACCUCGGAUCAGGUAGGAAUACCCGCUGAACUUAAGCAUAUCAAUAAGCGGAGGA